rnacentral:rRNA from 1 species
UGGGGAAUUUUCCGCAAUGGGCGCAAGCCUGACGGAGCAAGACCGCGUGCGGGAGGACGGCCUAUUGGUUGUAAACCGCUUUUGAUAGGGAAGAAGCUCUGACGGUACCUAUCGCAUCAGCAUCGGCUAACUCCGAGCCAGCAGCCGCGGUAAUACGGAGGAUGCAAGCGUUAUCCGGAAUUAUUGGGCGUAACGCGUCCGUAGGAGGGUGUUCAAGUCUGCUGUAAACGCGUGUGGCUUAACUGCAUU